rnacentral:rRNA from 1 species
AUUGAACGCUGGCGGAAUGCUUUACACAUGCAAGUCGAACGGCAGCACGGACUUCGGUCUGGUGGCGAGUGGCGAACGGGUGAGUAAUGUAUCGGAACGUGCCCAGUCGUGGGGGAUAACGUAGUGAAAAUUACGCUAAUACCGCAUACGAUCUAUGGAUGAAAGCGGGGGAUCGCAAGACCUCGCGCGAUUGGAGCGGCCGAUAUCAGAUUAGGUAGUUGGUGGGGUAAAGGCCCACCAAGCCAACGAUCUGUAGCUGGUCUGAGAGGACGACCAGCCACACUGGAACUGAGACACGGUCCAGACUCCUACGGGAGGCAGCAGUGGGGGAUUUUGGACAAUGGGCGAAAGCCUGACCCAGCCAUUCCGCGUGCAGGAUGAAGGCCCUCGGGUUGUAAACUGCUUUUGUACAGAACGAAAAGGUUUCUACUAAUACUAGGAGCUCAUGACGGUACUGUAAGAAUAAGCACCGGCUAACUACGUGCCAGCCGCCGCAGUAA